AUUGAACGCUGGCGGCAGGCCUAACACAUGCAAGUCGAACGAGUGGCGGACGGGUGAGUAAUGUCUGGGAAACUGCCUGAUGGAGGGGGAUAACUACUGGAAACGGUAGCUAAUACCGCAUACCAUCAGAUGUGCCCAGAUGGGAUUAGCUAGGUGGUGGGGUAACGGCGCACAAAGGCGACGAUCCCUAGCUGGUCUGCGAGGAUGACCAGCCACACUGGAAAGGAGACACGGUCCAGACUCCUACGGGAGGCGGCAGGGGGGAAGAUUGCAAAAUGGGCGCAAGCCUGAUGAAGCUAUGCCGCGUGUAUGAAGAAGGCCUUCGGGUUGUAAAGUACUUUCAGCGGGGAGGCGUUACCCGCAGAAGAAGCACCGGCUAACUCCGUGCCAGCAGCCGCGGUAAUAC
rnacentral:rRNA from 1 species